AAUGUUACAAAUGAUGUGGUAAAAUUUCUCAUUGGCCCAUAGUGCAUUGAUGGACAGUUGUUGGCAUGAUCAUGACCAUUAAUGAAUACACAAAUAUUCUUGGCCCGUAGUGCAUGGAUAAUUGUGAUCGUGAUACUAAAGAAUAUCCUUGACCGUAGUGCAGGGGUGAUUCGAUGAUGUGGAAUAUUUAUUAAGCUGAGUCUCAGCGAUAACAGUGAUGAAAAACCUUUUUAAUCAUAAAAGAUAGUAGAUGUUAUUUUCUACUUGACUCUUUUAAUGGAUUGCUUGUUCCGUUGCAGUUAAACUUGAUGUCUAUUAUAUUUUAUCAGUUUAACAUUGUUGGAGACUAAUGAUAAUUUAUUCUGCAUUAUCUUAGUCAUAAUAUUUCUUACUGGCUAGUUGAGCUCACCUUUCCUUUCACUGUUCUCUUCAGGAAAUGAGAAUAUAGCUGGGAC
rnacentral:lncRNA from 1 species